UGGGGAAUAUUGCACAAUGGGGGAAACCCUGAUGCAGCGACGCCGCGUGAACGAAGAAGGUAUUCGUAUCGUAAAGUUCUGUCCUAUGGGAAGAUAAUGACAGUACCAUAGAAGAAAGCUCCGGCUAAAUACGUGCCAGCAGCCGCGGUAAUACGUAUGGAGCGAGCGUUUUCCGGAAUUAUUGGGCGUAAAGGGUACGCAGGCGGUUUAAUAAGUCGAAUGUUAAAGAUCGGGGCUCAACCCCGUAAAGCAUUGGAAACUGAUAAACUUGAGUAGUGGAGAGGAAAGUGGAAUUCCUAGUGUAGUGGUGAAAUACGUAGAUAUUAGGAGGAAUACCAGUAGCGAAGGCGACUUUCUGGACACAAACUGACGCUGAGGUACGAAAGCGUGGGGAGCAAACAGG
rnacentral:rRNA from 1 species